UACAGAGGGUGCGAGCGUUGUCCGGAAUCAUUGGGCGUAAAGAGCGUGUAGGCGGCCACUUAAGUCCUGCGUGAAAUCUUGCGGCUCAACCGCAAGCGGUCGUGGGAAACUGGGUGGCUAGAGUCCGGAAGAGGCGAGUGGAAUUCCCGGUGUAGCGGUGAAAUGCGCAGAUAUCGGGAGGAACACCAAUGGCGAAGGCAGCUCGCUGGGACGGUACUGACGCUGAGACGCGAAAGCGUGGGGAGCAAACAGGG
rnacentral:rRNA from 1 species